CACUUUUAGAAUAAUAUAAAAUUAUAAUUUAAUGAUAAAUUGUAAUAUGGACGAAAUACGAAUACGUUUUGUCGUCAUUAGCCAACAAGCACUCAACGCUCUACGUGUCUCGUACUGUUGUGAAUUUUCAGGUACUUGGUAGUUUGUUUUUUGUUGUUUUUUAUUUUUUAUUAUUCAUUAUGUCGAACUCGGAUGUCGAUAAUCCUCUAACACCACCUAAAAAAAUUAAAUUGUCUUAUAAACAAAAAUAUUGUGUUGAAUGGGAGGCAGUUGCCUCAUUUAAAGGAUGGCUUUCAGCGAACAAAAAAGGGAAUAUAUUUUUUCAUUGCAAAGCAUGUUUAGUAGAUGGAGUAGCUGAUAAAUCAGAAAUUUAAAAGCAUUUCCUUGACAAAAAACAUAUAAAAAAUGUGGAAAGCGUUAAAAAUCAAUCUAGUAUAAGUAAAUUGUUAACAGAUCACAGUAAAUCGGAAAAUGAAGUGAAAUAUGCUGAACUACUGCAACUGUCAUUGUUCAUACCUGAACAUAAUUUACCAUACUCUAUCAUGAACCAUUUACCGAAGCUCAUAAAUAAAAUUUGUCCUGAUUCGAAAAUUGCACACAAUUUGAAAUGUGGUGAUAAUAAGUGCAAAUCAAUCAUAACUAAUGUUGUAGCUGCCGGAAAAAAUUGAUUAUCAGGGAAAUUUUGAACCUGAGAUUAGGGAAGUUCUAAAAACUGAGUCACGAAGUCUGUUCAGCUGUAUAAGCCUGAAAAUUGCGUGAGGACUGGCACGUGGAGUUAAUGGUUAUGAAAAGAACGGUAUUGUAACACAGGCGACUCUUCUUGAUCCAAGGUUUAAAAAAAUUGUAUUUAAUGGAUUAUAUCCACGAAAAUUGAAAGUUGCAAUUGACCGAUUAAAAAUAAAGUUUGUUAAAUAACUUUGCCAGGAACAGAUAAUCCAAUUGCAAAUUGCAUCAACAAUAGGAAUGAUAACACAUUUAUACAUUUUCUUCUUCAUUAUUACUGUGACGAAAAUAUUCACACAUUGGCAACUUUAAUUAAUCCAACAGCAGCUUUAAUUAUUGAAUUAAACAAGUACUUACAUGAACCACUCAUAAGAAAAUGUGAAUAUCCAUUAAAGUAGUGAUCUGCGCAUAAACCAUUGUAUCCACGUCUGUUUAUAAUGUUUAGAACGUAGAUAAAUGUUUCGCACGUAAGUAGGUUUUAGAAGCCUAAACUCAAUUUAAAAUUUUCGA